GAUCUCUUUUGUUUUCUUUAAGUUAAGGACGGUCACCCUCAGGGGAAACAGGUCCCCCCCUUUGGAGGAAAUGGACUGAUCGGAACCUGGCUGUGACAUCGGCUCAGAAUCCCAGCCUCACUUUGCAGUUGAGGCCAACAGCCUUUUGGUGGUUUCUCUGCAAGUGAAUCAGGAAAAACUCUUAUUGGACGCCGAAAAAGCAAAGUCUGAAGACUGAUGUCUGUGGAAAUGUCAGCCACCGAGGAGGACAUUCUCAAUGUCAAGGAGGACGAAGGAA